rnacentral:rRNA from 1 species
ACCGUAGCUUGCUACACCAUAGACUGUGAGUUGCGAACGGGUGAGUAACGCGUAGGUAACCUGCCUGGUAGCGGGGGAUAACUAUUGGAAACGAUAGCUAAUACCGCAUAAUAUUAAUUAUUGCAUGAUAAUUGAUUGAAAGAUGCAAUUGCAUCACUACCAGAUGGACCUGCGUUGUAUUAGCUAGUAGGUGAGGUAACGGCUCACCUAGGCGACGAUACAUAGCCGACCUGAGAGGGUGAUCGGCCACACUGGGACUGAGACACGGCCCAGACUCCUACGGGAGGCAGCAGUAGGGAAUCUUCGGCAAUGGACGAAAGUCUGACCGAGCAACGCCGCGUGAGUGAAGAAGGUUUUCGGAUCGUAAAGCUCUGUUGUAAGAGAAGAACGGGUGUGAGAGUGGAAAGUUCACACUGUGACGGUAUCUUACCAGAAAGGGACGGCUAACUACGUGCCAGCAGCCGCGGUAAUACGUAGGUCCCGAGCGUUGUCCGGAUUUAUUGGGCGUAAAGCGAGCGCAGGCGGUUAGAUAAGUCUGAAGUUAAAGGCUGUGGCUUAACCAUAGUACGCUUUGGAAACUGUUUAACUUGAGUGCAGAAGGGGAGAGUGGAAUUCCAUGUGUAGCGGUGAAAUGCGUAGAUAUAUGGAGGAACACCGGUGGCGAAAGCGGCUCUCUGGUCUGUAACUGACGCUGAGGCUCGAAAGCGUGGGGAGCGAACAGGAUUAGAUACCCUGGUAGUCCACGCCGUAAACGAUGAGUGCUAGGUGUUAGGCCCUUUCCGGGGCUUAGUGCCGCAGCUAACGCAUUAAGCACUCCGCCUGGGGAGUACGACCGCAAGGUUGAAACUCAAAGGAAUUGACGGGGGCCCGCACAAGCGGUGGAGCAUGUGGUUUAAUUCGAAGCAACGCGAAGAACCUUACCAGGUCUUGACAUCCCGAUGCCCGCUCUAGAGAUAGAGUUUUACUUCGGUACAUCGGUGACAGGUGGUGCAUGGUUGUCGUCAGCUCGUGUCGUGAGAUGUUGGGUUAAGUCCCGCAACGAGCGCAACCCUUAUUGUUAGUUGCCAUCAUUCAGUUGGGCACUCUAGCGAGACUGCCGGUAAUAAACCGGAAGGUGGGGAUGACGUCAAAUCAUCAUGCCUCCUUAUG